rnacentral:rRNA from 1 species
GGAUGAACGCUGGCGGCGUGCCUAAUACAUGCAAGUCGAACGAAUCUUCUUCGGAAGAUGAGUGGCGAACGGGUGAGUAAUACAUAGGUAACCUGCCCCUGUGCGGGGGAUAACAGGAGGAAACUCCUGCUAAUACCGCAUAGCCAUGAGCACCGCAUGGAGCUCAUGCCAAAUAUCCUUCAGGGGAUAGCGCAGGGAUGGACCUAUGGCGCAUUAGCUAGUUGGCGGGGCAACGGCCCACCAAGGCAACGAUGCGUAGCCGGCCUGAGAGGGCGGACGGCCACAUUGGGACUGAGACACGGCCCAGACUCCUACGGGAGGCAGCAGUAGGGAAUUUUCGGCAAUGGGGGAAACCCUGACCGAGCAACGCCGCGUGAGCGAAGAAGGCCUUCGGGUCGUAAAGCUCUGUUGUAAAGGAAGAACGUCGCAUGCAGGAAAUGGUGUGCGAGUGACGGUACUUUACCAGAAAGCCACGGCUAACUACGUGCCAGCAGCCGCGGUAAUACGUAGGUGGCGAGCGUUAUCCGGAAUCAUUGGGCGUAAAGAGGGAGCAGGCGGCCGCAAGGGUCUGUGGUGAAAGACCGAAGCUAAACUUCGGUAAGCCAUGGAAACCGGGCGGCUAGAGUGCGGAAGAGGAUCGUGGAAUUCCAUGUGUAGCGGUGAAAUGCGUAGAUAUAUGGAGGAACACCAGUGGCGAAGGCGACGGUCUGGGCCGCAACUGACGCUCAUUCCCGAAAGCGUGGGGAGCAAAUAGGAUUAGAUACCCUAGUAGUCCACGCCGUAAACGAUGGUCACUAAGUGUCGGGGGUCAAACCCCGGUGCUGCAGUCAACGCAAUAAGUGACCCGCCUGAGUAGUACGUUCGCAAGAAUGAAACUCAAAGGAAUUGACGGAAGGGC